rnacentral:lncRNA from 1 species
UAUUUAGUGUAAUACUAUUCAUAUCACCCAAAAUGGGGGAAUAAAUGGAGGAGGGUUGGAGAAUAAUGAGGGAAAAAAUGAAGAAUUAGAGUUGGUUGGAGAUGCUCUUAAGGUUAGAAUUACAUUGCUUUCAAAGAAACCUAGUUUGCAUGCCCAAAAGAAGAAAAAUGAGACCUUUUUUUUCUAGUGGAUGAUAUGUCGUUGUUUAAAGAACCAGACAAGGUAGAAUUUAUUUUUGGCAUAUUUGGUCCCUCGGGUCUAACAUGCUUGCAAAAAACAACCAAAUCUGAAUUCUCUUAACACCAUAAGUUCUGAAAAUUACGAAUAAGUCCUUGGGUUUCUAUUUUCCAUAUUAUUAAUAUUAUUAUUAUUAUUAUUGUUAUUGUGAUGCUUUUUAUUUGUAACGUCGUAAAUUUUCAAAACAAAAUUUUCAUUUCAAAUCACAUAAUUCUCAUAAUCUAUUUCACAAAAAUCUCAUUUAUUAAGUUUACAACUCAAAACUUUAUAAUUGCUCGGUUAAAAUCCAGGAUCCUCAAAAACGUAACUCUCUCACUGGUGUGUACAAUCAAGUCGGUGCCUUCUCGCGAUCCUGAGAACAACCUGAAACACAUAACACAUAACACGGUAAGCACGAAGCUUAGUGAGUUCCCCAAAAUACCACAUACAACAAUUCGCCACUCGAGGCUAUACUCUGUACAACCCUCUGGUCACUGUGUCUCAGCGGGACUCUCCAGUCCUGUAGCUCGUUGGACCCUCUAGCCAGGUCUAACUCGUUGGACCCUCCGGUCCGGUUUGGUUGAGGACCCUCCAGCCUCGUAAAUCGUUGGACNUAAUGAACAAAAAACAAACUUUAUAUUUAUAAUUAAUUAAUAUAAUUUAAUAUAUAAAAAAUAUUAUAAGUAUUAAAUAUUAUAUUUAAAUUAUAAUUAGUUGGUAAAAAUGAACUAGAAAUGUAUAAAUAGAUAAAAGAGGGACUAAAACCGACAACGCAAAGUUCACCCCCAUUUUGGGAGAAUUAAAUAGUAUAAUACCAUAUUUAGUGUAAUACUAUUCAUAUCACCCAAAAUGGGGGAAUAAAUGGAGGAGGGUUGGAGAAUAAUGAGGGAAAAAAUGAAGAAUUAGAGUUGGUUGGAGAUGCUCUUAAGGUUAGAAUUACAUUGCUUUCAAAGAAACCUAGUUUGCAUGCCCAAAAGAAGAAAAAUGAGACCUUUUUUUUCUAGUGGAUGAUAUGUCGUUGUUUAAAGAACCAGACAAGG